AGUCAGAAGAGAGGAUGAAGUGGAAGGAUAAAAGAAUAUUAGCAAGAUUCAGAUGUGGAAACGAGACCAAAGCAAGGGAAUAUUGGAAAGAAGAGGAAGAAAAAAGAUGCAGACUAUGGAAAAGAGCAAGAAAGAGAAAGAAGGGACUAGAAGAGGUGAGAAAGGGAGGGACCCAGAUAGAAGCAAGAGAAGAGCAAGAAAGGAUGACAGCAGACCAAAUUAUAAAAAGAAGAGAGAAACAGA
rnacentral:misc_RNA from 1 species